rnacentral:rRNA from 1 species
UACAGAGGGUGCGAGCGUUGUCCGGAAUCACUGGGCGUAAAGGGCGCGUAGGCGGCCAAGUAAGUAGGGGGUGAAAUCUCAUGGCUCAACUGUGAGGCUGCCUUCUAGACUGCUUGGCUCGAGCACAGUAGAGGCUAGUGGAAUUCCCGGUGUAGCGGUGGAAUGCGUAGAGAUCGGGAAGAACAUCGGUGGCGAAGGCGGCUAGCUGGGCUGUUGCUGACGCUGAUGCGCGAAAGCGUGGGGAGCAAACAGG